rnacentral:rRNA from 1 species
GUAGGUGGCAAGCGUUGUCCGGAAUUAUUGGGCGUAAAGCGCGCGCAGGCGGUCCUUUAAGUCUGAUGUGAAAGCCCACGGCUCAACCGUGGAGGGUCAUUGGAAACUGGGGGACUUGAGUACAGAAGAGGAAAGCGGAAUUCCAAGUGUAGCGGUGAAAUGCGUAGAGAUUUGGAGGAACACCAGUGGCGAAGGCGGCUUUCUGGUCUGUAACUGACGCUGAGGCGCGAAAGCGUGGGGAGCAAACAGGGAUUAGACACCCUGGUAGUCCACGCCGUAAACGAUGAGUGCUAAGUGUUAGGGGGUUUCCCGCCCCUUAGUGCUGCAGCUAACGCAUUAAGCACUCCGCCUGGGGAGUACGGCCGCAAGGCUG